CGUGUUACAAUGGGGGGUACGAGAGGGCCGCUACCACGCGAGUGGAUGCCAAUCCCCAAAACCUCUCUCAGUUCGGACUGGAGUCUGCAACCCGACUCCACGAAGCUGGAUUCGCUAGUAAUCGCGCAUCAGCCACGGCGCGGUGAAUACGUUCCCGGGCCUUGUACACACCGCCCGUCAAGCCAUGGGAGCCGGGGGUACCUGAAGUGCGUAACCGCGAGGAGCGCCCUAGGGUAAAGCUGGUGACUGGGGCUAAGUCGUAACAAGGUAAC
rnacentral:rRNA from 1 species